GAUCAGCGCAGGCCGGUGUUGAACCGCAAGCAGCGUCUGAGGCACUGGGUGGUCGAGGCUGUGAUAGAUCAAGCGCUGAUCACGCGGCACCACCUCAAGAAGCAGGCAUCCAGUGCACGUGCCAACAUUACUCUGUAGGGGAAGAAGCAAGCAGAUCCGGCUUGCCCAGAUAGAGAAGGCAGCCAUGGAGGUGGAAGCCCCUCAAAGCCAGCUAGGACUAUCAAACCACAGCUCAAAAUGCAAAAGAAGACAAAAGUCCCCCAGGACAUAGAAAUGAAGGACCUUGAAGAUGAGAGCUAAACCUCUUCAACUAGAAGAUUCUCAACUAGAGCCCAAAGGACUCAGUGGUUGUUUCAGAGGAUGUUGACAAAAGCAGUGCCCCUUUUCACUCUCCAUAUUUCCUCCUUUCUAAUGGCCUACUGACUUCCCCUGGAGGGAUGUCUUUGGGAGGGAAGAGGGUACAGAAGAAAGAUUGGAGAAGGGCCUCUCUAGCAGUCAACUCCAUUUGUGAUAAAACCCUGGCACUCUGGAAAACAAACAAACAAAGAGCACUCACUACUGGCUUCAUAAUCAAGCACAGAACUAUCCUCAAGACGGGGUUUCAUUAUAUUAUUCAGGCUGGUCUAGAACUCCUGACCUCAGGUGAUCCAUCUGCCGUGACCUUCCAAAGUGCUGGGAUUACAGGUGUGAGCCACCACACCCGGCCUGGCUUCUUUCACUUAACAUAAUGUCUUCAAGGUCAUCCGUGUUGUAGCAUAUGAAGGUAGCUGUCAAUUAUGAGCAGCCUAUGGAGAGGCCUACACUAUGAGAAACUGAGGUCUUUGGAAGUCCUGAGUGGAGAAAAACUGAUGCUUCCUGUCAAUUACUAGGUCUGUGAGUCUUCUUAGAAGCAGAUUCUCUAGCUCCAGGCAAGCCUUUCGGCAACUUUAGUCCCUGCUGACAUCCUGAGUGCAACCUGAACUACAAAGCCGAACUGCUCCCAAAUUCCUGACUUUUGAGAUAGAAUCUCGCUCUGUUGCCCAGGCUGGAGUGCAGUGGGGCAAUCUCGGCUCCCUGCAACUUCAGCCUCCCAAGUAGCUGGGAUUACAGGCAUGCACCACCACACCAGGUAAUUUUUAUAUUUUUAGUAAAGAUGAGUUUUCACUGUGUUGGCCAAGAUGGUCUCAAACUCUUAACCUCAAGUGAUUCACUCACCUCAGCCUCCCAAAGUGCUGGGAUUAUAGGUGUGACCCGCUGUGUCCAACCAACAUUUGUUGUUUUAAGCUUCUAAGUUUUGGAAUAACUUG
rnacentral:lncRNA from 1 species